ACUAGUCCACUAGAGAAGAAGGAGAAGGAGAAGAAGAUAUCCAGAGACAUGGAAGAGGAGGGCUUGAUAACAAAAUCUCCUGGGCAUUUUCUUUACAAAGUCUAUGAUUACUUUCAACAGCCCAUAAGAGCUUUUCUCAGGAUACUGGGUCUUUCCUCCUCCACUCUUCCGGAUUCCUCAGCAAAAGAUCAUGAAAAGGAAAAGAUGGAGAUAGUUCUGAGAUCAGGUAAACCACCAAAGGGGGCAAGGGAUCGUGGAUCUGGAGGAAGCGUCAAUGGAUCAAAGCCUAUAUAAAACCUCAGCCUCUUCUUGAUUAUUUGUCUUGUAUCCUUAUCUUUGUAACAUAAUUAUUAAUAUCCAAAAUAAGCUUUACUAGAUGAUCAACUGAUGAUCAUCCUUAGCAUCAAUUGAAUCAAAACCCAUGACUGUGGAAGCUGUUGGAUGCAUCUCCGUUCAGUGAAUCAGUGGUGACCAUGGAGUUAAGUUUGCCUCUGCAAGCCCUUUGGACUCACUUCUGCUUAUGGCGAAGAUGUUUGCCUUUUAUCCUUCUUGUUUUCUUCUUUCUUCAAGCCUGUACUUGUGUCUCACUACUGGGUGUUAAUUUCACCACGCCUAUUAACACUUCUCUCAAUAAAGGUUAUGUUUGUUCC